GAUGAACGCUAGCUGCAGGCUUAACACAUGCAAGUCGAGGGGUAACAAGAGAAAAGCUUGCUUUUCUUGUUGACGACCGGCGCACGGGUGAGUAACGCGUAUCCAACCUGCCUAUAACUAGGGAAUAACCUUGCGAAAGUAAGACUAAUACCCUAUGAUUUCCUUUGAUGACAUCAGAUUAGGAAUAAAGAUUUAUCGGUUAUAGAUGGGGAUGCGUCUGAUUAGCUUGUUGGCGGGGUAACGGCCCACCAAGGCAACGAUCAGUAGGGGUCCUGAGAGGAAGGUCCCCCACAUUGGAACUGAGACACGGUCCAAACUCCUACGGGAGGCAGCAGUGAGGAAUAUUGGUCAAUGGGCGGAAGCCUGAACCAGCCAAGUAGCGUGCAGGAUGACGGCCCUAUGGGUUGUAAACUGCUUUUAUACAGGAAUAAAGUUAGCCACGUGUGGUUAUUUGUAGGUACUGUAUGAAUAAGGACCGGCUAAUUCCGUGCCAGCAGCCGCCGUAA
rnacentral:rRNA from 1 species